rnacentral:rRNA from 1 species
CCUACGGGGGGCAGCAGUGGGGAAUAUUGGACAAUGGGGGCAACCCUGAUCCAGCCAUGCCGCGUGUGUGAAGAAGGCCCUCGGGUUGUAAAGCACUUUCAGUGAGGAAGAACGCCUGGUGGUUAAUACCCAUCAGGAAAGACAUCACUCACAGAAGAAGCACCGGCUAACUCCGUGCCAGCAGCCGCGGUAAUACGGAGGGUGCGAGCGUUAAUCGGAAUUACUGGGCGUAAAGCGCGCGUAGGUGGCUUGAUAAGCCGGUUGUGAAAGCCCCGGGCUCAACCUGGGAACGGCAUCCGGAACUGUCAAGCUAGAGUGCAGGAGAGGAAGGUAGAAUUCCCGGUGUAGCGGUGAAAUGCGUAGAGAUCGGGAGGAAUACCAGUGGCGAAGGCGGUCUUCUGGACUGACACUGACACUGAGGUGCGAAAGCGUGGGUAGCAAACAGGAUUAGAUACCCGAGUAGUC